UGGUGUCCGAUAGGACUUAAUAGGGAAUCGGGUGUGAAUCCCGGACAGUUCCCGCUGCUGUGAUCUUUUGUAGCUGAGACUAUUAUGUCACUGUGUGUCCCAAAAUACACGGGAAGGCGGUCUCAGUUGGAAGUAAGUCAGAAGACCUGCCAUCUGUCAUU
rnacentral:ncRNA from 1 species